rnacentral:snRNA from 1 species
CAAUAAUAUGCGACCUGAGCCACUGAAAUUGGAGCCACACAGGGAAAAUUAGCGAAGCCCAUACUCAAGGAUGACACCGAGAUUUGUGUAUUAUUUCACGUUUUU